ACGAACGCUGGCGGCGUGCUUAACACAUGCAAGUCGAACGGAAAGGCCCUGCUUUUGUGGGGUGCUCGAGUGGCGAACGGGGGAGUACCACGUGAUUAACCUGCCCUUGACUUUGGGUUAACUUCAGGAAACGGGGGUUAAUACCGGAUAGGAGCUCCUGCUGCAUGGGGGGGGUUGGAAAGUUUCGGCGGUUGGGGAUGGACUCGCGGCUUAUCAGCUUGUUGGUGGGGUAGUGGCUUACCAAGGCUUUGACGGGUAGCCGGCCUGAGAGGGUGACCGGCCACAUUGGGACUGAGAUACGGCCCAGACUCCUACGGGAGGCAGCAGUGGGGAAUAUUGCACAAUGGGCGGAAGCCUGAUGCAGCAACGCCGCGUGCGGGAUGACGGCCUUCGGGUUGUAAACCGCUUUCGCCUGUGACGAAGCGUGAGUGACGGUAUUGGGUAAAGAAGCACCGGCUAACUACGUG
rnacentral:rRNA from 1 species